rnacentral:lncRNA from 1 species
AUCACAGACAUUCAGUUACUGUUCAUCGGACAGUUAUGUAGGUACAACCGUCCCAUUCACCCAUAAUGAUGGCUCCUACAGACAGGCAUCAAGACAUUCAGUUACUGUUCCAUCGGACAGUUUUUAGGUACAAACCGCAAGUCUUUUUAAAUCUUGAAUACACUACAGUUUACAUUAAAUCUUUAGCAAGAAAAGUAAUCAAAUGAUGUGUGUCUCCUCUCUCUGUGUCUCUCUCUCUGUGUCUCUCUCUCUGUGUCUCCUCUGGUCUUCUCUCUGUGUCUCUCUCUUGUGUCUCUCUUCUCUGUGGGCCUCUCCAGGUCGUGUGGAGUUGGAGAGGACACUAUAGAUGUUAUAUUGUCAGUAUCAGGUCUCCUCCAGCUCCAGUCAGUGGUCCAGGCCUGCUGUAACUUCCUCAUCAAACAGCUCACCCGUCUAACUGUCGGGGAUACGCAGUCGCAGACACACAGAGCUGUCACACCUUCAACCACACUGCCCCAGCUACACCAUGUAGGUACACACUGCCCACAGCUACACCAUGGUAGGUACACACUGCCCACAGCUCACCAUGUAGGUACCCACUGCCCACAGCUACACCAUGGUAGGUACACACUGCCCACGCUACACCAUAGUACCCACUGCCCACAGCUACACACCAUGGGAGGUACACACUGCCCACAGCUACACCAUAGCGUACACCUGCACACUCACCGCAGUAACCUGGACACACCAGUAGGUACACAGUACACCAUGGUAGGUACACACGCCCACAGAAACACCAUGGUAGUACACAGCUACACCAUGGUAGGUACACACUGCCCACAGCUACACCAUGGUAGGUAAAACACUGCCCACAGCUACACCAUUGUAGGUCACACUGACCACCGCACACCAUUGGUUAGGUACACAG